AGGAAAAAGAUCUGAACGUAAUGAAAGAAUGGCUCUAGCUGAUGAACCCGAAUAUGCAGAUGAAGGUUUAAAGGACAAUAUACUUUACGAAACUGCGGGGAGCCAUUUUUGUCAAGGAACCACGAAAGUUGGAUACGAAGUUAAUGAUAAGAAAAGACAUGGAACCGACAACUCUGCAUUUCAAGAAACAGCACUUUACAGUGUCGAUCAGAA